UGUAGUCAUAUGCUUGUCUCAAAGAUUAAGCCAUGCAUGUCUAAGUAUAAGCAAUUAUACCGCGAAACUGCGAAUGGCUCAUUAAAUCAGUUAUCGUUUAUUUGAUAGUACCUUACUACAUGGAUAACCGUGGUAAUUCUAGAGCUAAUACAUGCUAAAAACCCCAACUCCGGAAGGGGUGUAUUUAUUAGAUUAAAAACCAAUGCCCUUCGGGGCUCCCUGGUGAUUCAUAAUAACUUCUCGAAUCGCACGGCCUUGCGCCGGCGAUGGUUCAUUCAAAUUUCUGCCCUAUCAACUUUCGACGGCAGGGUCUUGGCCUGCCAUGGUGACAACGGGUAACGGAGGGUUAGGGCUCGACCCCGGAGAAGGAGCCUGAGAAACGGCUACUACAUCCAAGGAAGGCAGCAGGCGCGCAAAUUACCCAAUCCCGACUCGGGGAGGUAGUGACAAUAAAUACUGAUACAGGGCUCUUUUGGGUCUUGUAAUUGGAAUGAGUACAAUUUAAAUCCCUUAACGAGGAACAAUUGGAGGGCAAGUCUGGUAAUCG
rnacentral:rRNA from 1 species